AGGCGCCGCGGGGCAGCCCCGCCGCCGGGGGUCCUCACAGAGAAAAGGCCGUCGCCAUGGAGACGCGGCGCGCGCCGGCAACCGUUGGGCUGCUUAGGCAUGUCAAGGACAGUUUUCGGGACCGGGGCCUCGGCUCCAGGCACCCAACAGCACUGACAGCGUACCCUUCACGGGCGCUCAAUGCCUCGAUGCGGCCGCUGCCGCCACCAUCUCAGCUUUCCUCGCGGGCAGCACGCCGCGGCAAAACCUCACGUCGCCUAGCGAUGGCGCGGGGCGGGGACACGGACUGUGCCGGCCAGUCGGAGACUUCCGCUUCCGGAGCCGCGGCCAUCGCGCUCCCAGGCUUCGAAGGCUUGCCUGGCGACGUGGAGUGUCACACCUUGGUCCUCAGGGCCCCUAAAUCUCGGUCUCCCUCGCCUCGCAGCCUACCACCUUCGCUUGGCUGCCCGCCUCCUCAGCUAGCCAUGCUGGAGCAUCUGAGCUCGCUGCCCACGCAGAUGGUGAGGGCGCAGCCCGGGGACCUCCGCACGCCGCUCUUGUGCCUGGCAGCUUCGAAGCCCAUGUCCGAGCACCGACCCGAUGCUGCGCUGUUCUGGGCCCAGAUGGGAUUACAAGGGCCAGAAGCUAGCUGAACAGAUGUUUCAAGGAAUUAUUCUUUUUUCUGCAAUAGUUGGAUUUAUCUACGGAUACGUGGCUGAACAGUUCGGGUGGACUGUCUAUAUAGUUAUGGCCGGAUUUGCUUUUUCAUGUUUGCUGACACUUCCUCCAUGGCCCAUCUAUCGCCGACAUCCUCUCAAGUGGUUACCUGUUCAAGACUCCAGCACAGAAGACAAGAAACCAGGCGAAAGAAAAAUUAAGAGGCAUGCUAAAAAUAAUUGAGGUUUUCAUGAUUCAGCACCUGGCUUUUGUUUCCUGUGAGAUGAGCUAAAUUGCUUUCAUACCCCAAAUAUGAGCUAAAACCACCUAAUGCUCUUAUGGCACAGCUGUGUAUAGAUUUAGUUCUCUUUAUAUUUCAUUUCUAGCCCAGUUGGGUUUUGAUUUAUGUAAGUAGUUUAGAUCGUCUCUUCAUAAUCUUGCUCUGAAAUGAGGAAGAGAACCCAAGUUUGCAGUUUCAGGUGUAAAUGAUGAAGAAUAAAUGCCUCAUCAAUGAUAGUACAAUGUAACUAUCAAAGUUUUAUAAUUCAUUAGGAGUUAUUAAACUAUUUUAAUGUUUCCGAUUAAAACUCAUAGUGCAA